AUUGAACGCUGGCGGCAGGCUUAACACAUGCAAGUCGAGCGGGGUGAUGGUGCUUGCACUAUCACUUAGCGGCGGACGGGUGAGUAAUGCUUAGGAAUCUGCCUAUUAGUGGGGGACAACAUCUCGAAAGGGAUGCUAAUACCGCAUACGUCCUACGGGAGAAAGCAGGGGAUCACUUGUGACCUUGCGCUAAUAGAUGAGCCUAAGUCGGAUUAGCUAGUUGGUGGGGUAAAGGCCUACCAAGGCGACGAUCUGUAGCGGGUCUGAGAGGAUGAGCGGCGACACUGGGACUGAGACACGGCCCGGACUCCUACGGGAGGCAGCAGUGGUGAAUAUUGGACAAUGGGGGGAACCCUGAUCCAGCCAUGCCGCGUGUGUGAAGAAGGCCUUAUGGUUGUAAAGCACUUUAAGCGAGGAGGAGGCUCUUUUGGUUAAUACCCAAGAUGAGUGGACGUUACUCGCAGAAUAAGCACCGGCUAACUCUGUGCCAGCCGCCGCCGUAA
rnacentral:rRNA from 1 species